rnacentral:rRNA from 1 species
AUUGAACGCUGGCGGCAUGCCUUACACAUGCAAGUCGAACGGUAACGGGCCUUCGGGUGCCGACGAGUGGCGAACGGGUGAGUAAUGUAUCGGAACGUACCUUUCAGUGGGGGAUAACGUAGCGAAAGUUACGCUAAUACCGCAUAUUCUGUGAGCAGGAAAGCAGGGGAUCGCAAGACCUUGCGCUGAUUGAGCGGCCGAUGUCAGAUUCGCUAGUUGGUGAGGUAAAGGUUCACCAAGGCGACGAUCUGUAGCGGGUCUGAGCAGAUGAUCCGCCACACGGGAACGGAUAAACGGUCCAGACGCCUACGUGAGGCAGCAGUGGGGAAUUUUGGACAAUGGGGGCAAGCCUGUUCCAGCCAUUCCGCGUGCAGAAUGAAGGCCUUCGGGUUGUAAACUGCUUUUGUACGGAACGAAACGGCUCUCUCUAAUACAGGGGGCUAAUGACGGUACCGUAAGAAUAAGCACCGGCUAACUACGUGCCAGCAGCCGCGGUAACAC